rnacentral:rRNA from 1 species
AUGGAGAUAAAUUCUUCGGGUGAGGAAACGGUGAUAAAGGUACGAAAGCCGUACACAAUAACAAAGCAGCGGGAGCGGUGGACCGAGGCAGAGCACAAACGGUUCCUUGAAGCCCUCAAACUGUAUGGCAGAGCUUGGCAGCGCAUAGAAGAGCAUGUCGGGACAAAGACGGCCGUGCAAAUCAGAAGCCAUGCUCAGAAGUUCUUCACCAAGUUGGAAAAGGAAGCUAUCAAUAAUGGUACUUCUCCGGGACAAGCUCAUGAUAUAGACAUACCUCCACCACGGCCUAAAAGAAAACCUAACUGUCCAUAUCCUCGAAAAGGUUGUCUCAGUUCUGAAACACCCACCAGAGAAGUUCCAAAAUCAAGUGUAAGCUUGAGCAAUAGCAAUGCAGAAAUGGCGAGCAAUGGAACUCUUCAGCUCACCUGCAUUCGGAAACUUCAAAGGAAGGAGUUGUCUGAAAACGGCAGUUGCUCAGAAGUUAUUAAUAUCUUUCGAGAAGCACCAUCUGCCUCAUUUUCUUCCUCUAAUAAGAGCUCUUCAAAUCAUGGUGUCUCUGGGGGAAUUGAACCGACUAAAACAGAAAACAAAGAUAUUGCAACCAUGGAAAGGAAAUCUACUUCCAUUGAUGUGGGGAAGGAUGUAAAAGAUAUUAAUGACCAGGAAAUGGAGAGGAACAACAGAGUCCACAUCAGUUCUAAUUAUGACGGUUCUCAUGAAGAUUGUUUGGAUAACUCAAUGAAACACAUGCAAUUGAAGCCAAAUACUGUGGAGACAACAUACACGGGUCAACAUGCUGCAAGUGCCCCACUCUACCAAAUGAAUAAGACUGGGGCAACUGGCGCUCCAGACCCUGGAACUGAAGGAAGUCAUCCUGAUCAAACAAGUGAUCGAGUGGGAGGAGCUAAUGGAAGCAUGGACUGCAUCCAUCCAACACUUCCGGUGGAUCCAAAAAUUGGCAGCAGCUCCACAGCACAGUCCUUUCCCCACAACUAUGCAGGCUUUGCACCAACGAUGCAAUGCCAUUGCAACCAAGAUGCCUACAGGUCUUCUCUUAAUAUGUCAUCCACCUUCUCUAACAUGCUCGUUUCCACGUUGUUAUCAAACCCCACAGUACAUGCAGCCGCAAGGCUUGCAGCAUCAUACUGGCCAGCAGCAGACAGCAACAUUCCUGUUGGUCCAAAUCAAGAAGUUUUUGCUGAGAAUGCUCAAGGAAGACAUAUUGGUUCUCCUCCAAGCAUGGCUUCUGUGGUAGCAGCUACAGUUGCUGCGGCUUCGGCAUGGUGGGCAACACAAGGUCUUCUCCCUCUUUUUGCUCCCCCCAUGGCUUUUCCAUUUGUCCCAGUUCCUACUGCUUCCUUUCCCACAACGGAUGUUCAGCGAGCUACAGAGAACUGCCCAGUGGACAACGCACCGAAGGAAUGCCAAGUAGCUCAGGAGCAAGGUCAACCUGAAGCUAUGAUAGUUGUAGCGUCUUCUGGAUCCGACAAGAGUGGAAAAGGAGAGGUGUCUCCCCACACCGAGUUAAAUAUAUCUCCAGCUGAUAAAGUUGAGACAACACCUCCCACAGGAGCUGAAACAAGUGAUGCUUUCGGCAACAAGAAGAAGCAGGAUCGCUCUUCAUGUGGUUCCAACACGCCAUCAAGUAGUGAUGUAGAGGCAGAACAUGUUCCUGAGAACCAAGAUCAAGCCAACGACAAGACACAGCAAGCAUGUUGCAGUAAUUCUUCAGCUGGUGACAUGAACCACCGCAGGUUUAGGAACAUUUCAAGCACAAAUGAUUCAUGGAAGGAAGUUUCCGAAGAGGGUCGUAUGGCUUUCGAUAAACUGUUCAGUAGAGGAAAGCUUCCCCAAAGCUUUUCUCCUCCACAAGCAGAAGGAUUGAAGGUGGUACCCAGGGGGGAACAAGACGAAGCUACUACGGUGACGGUCGACCUCAACAAGAGUGCUGCAGUUAUGGACCAUGAACUUGAUACAUUGGUUGGGCCAAGAGCUACCUUUCCCAUUGAAUUGUCACACCUGAAUAUGAAAUCCCGCCGGACAGGCUUCAAACCUUACAAGAGGUGCUCGGUGGAAGCAAAGGAGAAUAGGGUGCCGGCUGCUGACGAGGUGUCUGGAAAACAUCAAAUGGAGACAGACGAGAAGCUGAAGCACCUCUAUAGCACGGUGAAUCAACAGAGCAUUCUGAUGGAUCUGGCAUCACAUCCUCGGCCAAAACACCACAUGGAUCAGCAGAAGUAG